UACGUAGGGGGCGAGCGUUGUCCGGAUUUAUUGGGCGUAAAAGGCUUGUAGGUGGCCACGCCAAGUCGGAUGUGAAAUCUCCCGGCUCAACUGGGAGGGGUCAUUCGAUACUGGCGGGCUCGAGGCCGGUAGGGGGAAGCGGAAUUCCAGGUGUAGCGGUGAAAUGCGUAGAUAUCUGGAGGAACACCGGUGGCGAAGGCGGCAUCCUGGACCGGCAUUGACGCUGAGGCGCGAAAGCUAGGGGAGCAAACGGG
rnacentral:rRNA from 1 species